rnacentral:ncRNA from 2 species
AUCGUUCAUCUCUUUAAUCAUGGUUUCUCUGAGUAGUCUUGUCAGACGGAGGCAUGGAAGGAGACGGAAGUAGGGAUUUAUCCUGAAGGAACGCGCC